UCGAUGCCGGCACACCAAUCCGACAAUCCUUUGAAAUAAAAUUUAUUUGUUAAAUAUUUCAAAGCAAAUUUUUCUUCCUGGUGUUAGUUUUGGGAGUCGUUAUCGACAAUCAUAAAUAAGCUGAGGCAUCCUGAUAAACCUUAACUAUUACCCAGAACCCACACAAAAACUAUCCCUGUUACAGAAUAUAUUCUCAAACGUCAAACCCAAUUAAUUGAACUUACAUUUGUAGUUUCUGACGGAAAUCAGAAAUAAAAAACAAGUACUCAGCAGGAUGUGGAUUCGACUUUACAGUCGUUGGCUUUGCCUUUUGGCAUUCCAACGGCAAAUCGCAGUAUCAUAUGGAUGUGUCUUAGGCCCUAUACGCACGGGCGUAUUAACUUCGUCUCGACGCAUAAUUCAUAGCGCGUUGAAUUAUACACCCCUAUACAUGCCCUUACCCAUGUAAAAAAUAGACGAUUAUAUUUUAGAACCACUCCAUCAUAGACCACCUUGUAGUUACGCCUCUGAGGCGGAAACCGACCACUAGUUUGUACCCGAAUGAAAGAAAUAUU